GGAGAAACACGGGACGACUAGUCUGCACACACAUACAGCAAAAUAAACAGAACUAGUAGAGCAAUAUAUACAAUGAUUGUAAGGGAAGGCCAAGACAUUUGGUGACCUUGUGGGAUUAUUGAAGUGUACUCAGUGAGACCAUCAGUGGUAUGGCAGAGAUUUAAAUUUCACAAAUGGAAUGAACAGCCUGCUAGGGGCAUUGCUAUUUAUAUUGCAGAGCAGCAUCAUUUUUCUCAACAUUGCAAUCUGGGAAAAUUCUUAGACAACAAGCUGGGGGAUCAUAUUUACCAAAUGCCUGAUGAAGCCCUCGAUGGCACUUCUUAGGAAAGGUCAUAGGAUGUCCAAAGAUACAGCGUUUUGGGACUGCAGGAGACCACAACACCAUAAAGAAAAACAACCUUGAGAGACUUAAAAAAGAACCCUGAUCAAUGCAAUGACCAAGUGUGAGCCCAGAGGGUCAAGGAUGAAGCAUGCUAACCACCUCUGACAGAGUGGUGACAAA